AAAUUGAAGAGUUUGAUCAUGGCUCAGAUUGAACGCUGGCGGCAGGCCUAACACAUGCAAGUCGAGCGGUAGCACAGAGAGCUUGCUCUCGGGUGACGAGCGGCGGACGGGUGAGUAAUGUCUGGGAAACUGCCUGAUGGAGGGGGAUAACUACUGGAAACGGUAGCUAAUACCGCAUAACGUCGCAAGACCAAAGUGGGGGACCUUCGGGCCUCAUGCCAUCAGAUGUGCCCAGAUGGGAUUAGCUAGUAGGUGGGGUAACGGCUCACCUAGGCGACGAUCCCUAGCUGGUCUGAGAGGAUGACCAGCCACACUGGAACUGAGACACGGUCCAGACUCCUACGGGAGGCAGCAGUGGGGAAUAUUGCACAAUGGGCGCAAGCCUGAUGCAGCCAUGCCGCGUGUGUGAAGAAGGCCUUCGGGUUGUAAAGCACUUUCAGCGGGGAGGAAGGCGGUGAGGUUAAUAACCUCAUCGAUUGACGUUACCCGCAGAAGAAGCACCGGCUAACUCCGUGCCAGCAGCCGCGGUAAUACGGAGGGUGCAAGCGUUAAUCGGAAUUACUGGGCGUAAAGCGCACGCAGGCGGUCUGUCAAGUCGGAUGUGAAAUCCCCGGGCUCAACCUGGGAACUGCAUUCGAAACUGGCAGGCUAGAGUCUUGUAGAGGGGGGUAGAAUUCCAGGUGUAGCGGUGAAAUGCGUAGAGAUCUGGAGGAAUACCGGUGGCGAAGGCGGCCCCCUGGACAAAGACUGACGCUCAGGUGCGAAAGCGUGGGGAGCAAACAGGAUUAGAUACCCUGGUAGUCCACGCCGUAAACGAUGUCGAUUUGGAGGUUGUGCCCUUGAGGCGUGGCUUCCGGAGCUAACGCGUUAAAUCGACCGCCUGGGGAGUACGGCCGCAAGGUUAAAACUCAAAUGAAUUGACGGGGGCCCGCACAAGCGGUGGAGCAUGUGGUUUAAUUCGAUGCAACGCGAAGAACCUUACCUGGUCUUGACAUCCACAGAACUUUCCAGAGAUGGAUUGGUGCCUUCGGGAACUGUGAGACAGGUGCUGCAUGGCUGUCGUCAGCUCGUGUUGUGAAAUGUUGGGUUAAGUCCCGCAACGAGCGCAACCCUUAUCCUUUGUUGCCAGCGGUUAGGCCGGGAACUCAAAGGAGACUGCCAGUGAUAAACUGGAGGAAGGUGGGGAUGACGUCAAGUCAUCAUGGCCCUUACGACCAGGGCUACACACGUGCUACAAUGGCAUAUACAAAGAGAAGCGACCUCGCGAGAGCAAGCGGACCUCAUAAAGUAUGUCGUAGUCCGGAUUGGAGUCUGCAACUCGACUCCAUGAAGUCGGAAUCGCUAGUAAUCGUAGAUCAGAAUGCUACGGUGAAUACGUUCCCGGGCCUUGUACACACCGCCCGUCACACCAUGGGAGUGGGUUGCAAAAGAAGUAGGUAGCUUAACCUUCGGGAGGGCGCUUACCACUUUGUGAUUCAUGACUGGGGUGAAGUCGUAACAAGGUAACCGUAGGGGAACCUGCGGUUGGAUCACCUCCUUA
rnacentral:rRNA from 3 species